UUAACCCUAAGUUUGUUCUCAUUCUCUUCCUCUCCUCUCUCACUCGGUUGCCUCUCCCCCUCUCUAUACUCCUCCAGCUGGUGAAGACCGGCGGACCAGCAACAACUUUGGUGAGGCUAGCAGCCGUUGGCCGCCUCGGCUUCUUCCUCUUUCUCUCCCUUCUCCCUCCCUCUUCUUAUCUUCCUCUCCAGGCGAGGAGCAGUAGCAGCCGAUACCAUCGGCAUCUUCUGCAGAAACUACCAAACAGACCGCCGGUAGCAGCAAAUGCGAAGGCGUAACUCUCUCUCCACCUUCCUCUUCUUUUUUAUUCUCCUCUCUUUGCUGGACCACCACCACCACCAGUGCAACGAGCAACCCAACAACAUCAACAACAACAACUCCAGUGAAGGAGGAAGUUGCAUGAGGCCAGUGACGACAACAGAAAACAGCAAUGUCCCCAACCAAGCGAAGCUCUGACAAAAACUGCCUUCUCCACCAGCAGCUCCGGCCAUGGAACUUCAGUGAGGGCCGAGUUUAAAUAUGAAGAUGGCAGAUCUCAACAGAUCCGUCCGGAUCCGUCAUUUCUCCCGCCAUGGAGCGCUUAUCCACUUGGUUUUUUCUGUGUUCGGGCCUAUAUCGAAUCAAAUUGGGUCUUCACUGCUGAUAAAUAAUAAGAGUCAUGGCCUAUCCUCAUUUCCCCAACAAACAAAUGGUGGUCAAAGUGAAUCCUACCCUGAAGGUUUGGUGGAAGGAUAUUUAGAGAAACCGAGAGUUAGAGGCAAAUGACCUGCUAGGUGGCCUUACCGUUUUGAUCUCCAUCUGGUCAGAUUUUCACCUGAUCAAGACAUUGUUGAAAUUUUGGGACUCUAAGAGGUUAGUUUUCAAAUUCAAGGACUUUGAUCUAACCCUAACAAUUGAUGAUAUUGGUGGGUUUCUGGGUCUCCCAUACAAAGAACGUGAAAUGAUUGUGCCACACAAGCCAACGCCAAGGUCCUUUUUGAAGCAAAUUGGCCUGCAUCAUGAUCCAAAUUUACUUUGUACGAAAAUGGGAUGAAUUUCUUUAGAAUUCCUGUAUUCACGUUUUUGAGACGAGGAAGGCCAUAAAAACAUUCACUUAGAAUUUGCUUGCUCCCCUGCAAAAUGGGAAAGAUACCGCCUUAACUCAUUCGUCGUCACAUUAUUAGGCUCAUUGAUUUUCCCUAUGGAAAGGGAAAAAAUCCAAACAAGCUUAUGUUAUGUGGUCCGUAUGUUGGCUCGAUGUGGGAAGACCAUAUUCCCAUGAUACUUUCGGAAAUUCUAAGAGCAUUUACCGCACUAAGGCAAAAGGUACUUCGAGGGGCGUAAUUUUCUGUUGCAACUUUGGGCUGUUGAACACUUCUACCAAAGUGACAAUAGGGUAGAAAUUAUUAGAGGGACCACGGGGAAUAAAAUUAUCACUCAUUCCUCAAGUAUGACAUUUUAUUUCCCUUGUAGGAAUGUAAAACUGGUUCAUGUAUUUCAGAGAGCGCUCAACCAUUGAAAUCCAAUGGAAGAAUUAUUGGUUAAAGCCUCAUCAUGUCAUUUUAAGGGGUAAUGAGCUCUACUUUAUCUAGCUUAUUGGUUUGAACUGUGUGCAACCAUAUGUACCACUCCGAGUCCAACAAUUCGAACAAAUUCAAAUGAUACCUCUGCGAUCCCAUAUAGGCCACCAUGGAUAUGACUUUGGGCCAGAAAUACCGCAAGUGAACACCAUACUAGGAAGAUGGGAAAGGGUGGUAACUAUCAAUGUUCAAGAGCAUCGACCCUUUUGCACACCUGAAUAUACGUGUGGCUUCUGGAGGAUGCAUAACAUGCAGAUCUAAGCGAGGAAGGUCUUCCAAGUUUUGGUAAUGAAAGGGAAAGAAGAUGGGCUCACAACCUUCUCAACAACAAUUAUGAUAUCACCAGAGAAAUGAGGCAGCAAAUUAUGACUAACAUUGAAGACCUGCAUUGACUGAAGUUUCUUAGAAUUUUUUUUCCCAUGUUAUCCCUAGCCUCUAGCUUAUUUCUAGUUUUGCUUUAGUCUGAUGUAAUAAUUUGAAAUCAUUCAAUAUGUGAAGAUUGUUUUUUAUUUCUUAACUCUAAACUCCUAUUGGAAAAUAAGGCUUAAAUUUUAUAUUAUGCAUCAAGUAUGUGUUGUGUUA